GACGAACGCUGGCGGCGUGCUUAACACAUGCAAGUCGAACGGAAAGGCCCUGCUUUUGUGGGGUGCUCGAGUGGCGAACGGGUGAGUAACACGUGAGUAACCUGCCCUUGACUUUGGGAUAACUUCAGGAAACUGGGGCUAAUACCGGAUAGGAGCUCCUGCUGCAUGGUGGGGGUUGGAAAGUUUCGGCGGUUGGGGAUGGACUCGCGGCUUAUCAGCUUGUUGGUGGGGUAGUGACUUACCAAGGCUUUGACGGGUAGCCGGCCUGAGAGGGUGACCGGCCACAUUGGGACUGAGAUACGGCCCAGACUCCUACGGGAGGCAGCAGUGGGGAAUAUUGCACAAUGGGCGGAAGCCUGAUGCAGCAACGCCGCGUGCGGGAUGACGGCCUUUGGGUUGUAAACCGCUUUCGCCUGUGACGAAGCGUGAGUGACGGUAAUGGGUAAAGAAGCACCGGCUAACUACGUG
rnacentral:rRNA from 1 species